rnacentral:rRNA from 1 species
CGGGGGUCAGUUACGCGGGUGUCUGACCCGACUGCCGGGGAAAGCCCGGAGGAAGGAGGGGAUGACGUCAAGUCAGCAUGGCCCUGACGCCCUGGGCGACACACACGCUACAGUGACCGGGACAGUGGGCAGCGAAGGGGCGACCUGGAGCCAAUCCCGCAAACCCGGUCGUGGUGGGGAUCGCAGGCUGCAACCCGCCUGCGUGAACGCGGAGUUGCUAGUAACCGCCGGUCAGCCAUACGGCGGUGAA